rnacentral:rRNA from 1 species
CAGUCGCCACGGUAAUACAGAGGGUGCAAGCGUUAAUCGGAAUUACUGGGCGUAAAGCGCGCGUAGGUGGUUUGUUAAGUUGGAUGUGAAAUCCCCUGGCUCAACCUGGGAACUGCAUCCAAAACUGGCAAGCUAGAGUAUGGUAGAGGGUGGUGGAAUUUCCUGUGUAGCGGUGAAAUGCGUAGAUAUAGGAAGGAACACCAGUGGCGAAGGCGACCACCUGGACUGAUACUGACACUGAGGUGCGAAAGCGUGGGGAGCAAACAGGAUUAGAUACCCCGGUAGUCCCUGUCUCUUAUAC